GUGGGGAAUCUUGCACAAUGGGCGAAAGCCUGAUGCAGCGACGCCGCGUGAGGGAUGACGGCCUUCGGGUUGUAAACCUCUUUCAGCAGGGACGAAGCGCAAGUGACUGUACCUGCAGAAGAAGCACCGGCUAACUACGU
rnacentral:rRNA from 1 species